CGACUUCCUGCUCCAGCACAUUUCAAGGCCCUCAGAGAGAUAAAGGCGUCCCACAAAAGGGCUUUGAUGUUGAGGGUGACCAACAUCGCAUCGGGACAAAGAAUGAUUAUUUGGUUACAGAAAGACAGGCUGAUCAAGUCAAAAUCUAGCAACUUGCAGCUUUCAUUUAGCUGCAUCUGAAACCAGAGUCAAGACUGGAGAACCAGGGGCUGCCUUCUCGGUCAGACAGACUCGGAGGAGGCCAGUAUCCAGAUGGUGUCGCCUCAUACACUGCAAACCUGAAAACAGGCCACCGUGCCCACCUGCUCCCUGGAGGUCAGCCACAUGCGGAGAUCCACCCAGCAGAUAGGUUUUUGGAUUUUGCUGAUCGAUGGGAAGGAUCCAUCGAUGUGGAUUCCAAGCCUUUCAAUAAAAGCGACUUUGAUGUUGUUGGUUCUAGUUUUGCACUUUCUUUACUAAAGAAAAUGAAAAUAAUCCUUCCCUCAGUAUCAUCAAGAUCAUGAAGGCAAAUACAGCAUGAAUUUGAGAAAAGAUCCUAAACCGGAAAAAACGUGGUUGCAAAGGGCAUUCUAUUUGAAUAAGGAUGAUGGGUU
rnacentral:lncRNA from 1 species